GGCGGUAGAACUCAGUGGUAGAGCAUAUGCUUAGCAUGCACGAGGUCCUAGGUUCAAACCCCAGUGACUCCA
rnacentral:tRNA from 1 species